rnacentral:rRNA from 1 species
UGCAAGUCGAACGGACCUUGCCAUAUGGAAGUACUUGUACUGAAAGAUGGCGCUGGUUAGUGGCGGACGGGUGAGCAACACGUGAGUAAUUAACCUUCCAGACUGGGAUAACAACGGGAAACUGGUGCUAAUACCGGAUACGAUUUUCAGGCGGCAUCGCCUGGGGAUGAAAAGAGGCCUCUCCCUGGAAGCUCCUGCUGGAAGACAAGCUCGCGGCUGAUUAGCUAGUUGGUGGGGUAACGGCCUACCAAGGCAACGAUCAGUAGCCGGCCUGAGAGGGUGAACGGCCACACUGGGACUGAGACACGGCCCAGACUCCUACGGGAGGCAGCAGUGGGGAAUACUGCGCAAUGGGGGAAACCCUGACGCAGCAACGCCGCGUGAAUGAAGAAGGCCUUCGGGUUGUAAAGUUCUGUCAAUUGGGAAGAAACCUCCGGGGUCAAUAGCUCCGGAGAUGACGGUACCUAAGAAGGAAGCUCCGGCUAACUACGUGCCAGCAGCCGCGGUAAUACGUAGGGAGCAAGCGUUAUCCGGAAUUACUGGGCGUAAAGGGCGUGUAGGCGGCGGAUUAAGCCUGGGGUGAAAGGUUACAGCUCAACUGUAAGAUUGCCUCUGGAACUGGUCUGCUAGAGGGUGAGAGAGGAAAGUGGAAUUCCUAGUGUAGCGGUGGAAUGCGUAGAUAUUAGGAGGAACACCAGUG